rnacentral:rRNA from 1 species
UCAGGAUGAACGCUAGCGGCAGGCUUAACACAUGCAAGUCGAGGGGCAGCGCGGGGUAGCAAUACUCUGGCGGCGACCGGCGAAAGGGUGAGUAACGCGUGAGCAACAUGCCCGAUAGAGGGGGAUAGUCAUUGGAAACGAUGCGUAAUACCCCGUAACAUUUGGAACCGCAUGAUUCUGAAUUGAAAGAUUUAUUGCUAUCGGAUUGGCUCGCGCACCAUUAGCUAGUUGGCGGGGUAACGGCCCACCAAGGCGACGAUGGUUAGGGGUUCUGAGAGGAAGGUCCCCCACAUUGGAACUGAGACACGGUCCAGACUCCUACGGGAGGCAGCAGUGAGGAAUAUUGGACAAUGGCCGAGAGGCUGAUCCAGCCAUGCCGCGUGCCGGGAGGACGGCCCUAUGGGUUGUAAACCGCUUUUGUUGGGGAGCAAUAAGUCUUACGUGUAAGAUGAUGAGAGUACCCAGCGAAUAAGCAUCGGCUAACUCCGUGCCAGCCGCGGC